AUUCCAUAGAAAAUCUUAGUGUGUUUUGAAACACAGAUGUUAAAAUCAUAUGUGAUCAUCAAUCAAAAAAAAAAAAAUGUCAGAAACACCUUAUAAAGGCUAACACCCAAAAAUUUCCCAUUCUAGCAGUCUGCCAGGAUAUUUCACAUCUUCAGAAAUCCAGCAAAGGUUUAAAGAACUUCCAAUCUCUCCUUCAAAACUUUAACAGACCAUGGACUUCUGAGCAGACAGCAACGUUAUUAUUAUUUCUGACAACAAGAUUCCUGGAACGUCCACACAAGGCCUUUGAAUCCAAGAUCAUUGGGACAUAACCAUUCUAUCCAAAGACCCAUAGCCGCUGUAGCACCACAGCCUAGAACAAUCUUGCAAACUACACAAGUUGGGGACAGCCCGACUAUCAGUGAUGAUGAAUCAAGUGCUUCAGAUGUGAGCGAUGCCGAUGAUGAUGGUAAUAUGGAAGAAGAAGAGGAGGACAUUCAAGAAGAAGAAAAUAAAGUCAGAGAAGUCGAUAACGAACUAGAGGAGAUCAGCACCGCAUUGAAUGAAUUCUUCCAACCAAAGACUGCUUUAUUGGAAAUCUUGGACAUCUUGAUGAUACAGUUCAAAACCGUCCAGGUAGGGAAUUUGUUCCAUCAUUGUACAGUACCCUAAAAUCCUUGAAUAGGUGUGUCACAGUGAACAUAUAUUUGAUAAGAAAGUUCUAUAUGAUAGAUAUGGCACAGAAACACCUGAAAUACAAUUCAUUUACAAACGCUAAAAAUUAGAACUGAAAAUACUCUGACUUCACCCCGUGAUUUCUGCUAUGGUGAAAACCAGAGUUCUUCAAAUAGCCUGUUGCAUCCAUACACAACUCUGAACCCAUAUUUAACUGAUGCAGUCAACCAGCUGAAUGAAAGUUGAAUGCCGUCACACCAGGUCGUUAGUCACAGCCCUAGUCAGAGUCCCAAUUACAAAGUAACAAAUACACCAGCGUCUCAACAUGACAUAUUCUAAUCAAAGUUCAGAUUGGAAUUAUGUGUAUGUGUAUGGGAACAGAGCAGAUUGGAGAUAUGUAUGUGCAGGAUUAUCAUUAUUAAUCUUUAACCUAGAUAUAAUAUUCUUAGUGACCUUAUUAUUUAAUCAGAAUA